CCCGCGAAAGCGGGAGGAAGAGGGGACGACGUCUCGGUCAGCAUGGCCCUUACGGCCUGGGCGACACACGUGCUACAAUGCCCACUACAAAGCGAGGCCACCCGGCAACGGGGAGCUAAUCGCAAAAAGGUGGGCCCAGUUCGGAUUGGGGUCUGCAACCCGACCCCAUGAAGCCGGAAUCGCUAGUAAUCGCGGAUCAGCCAUGCCGCGGUGAAUACGUUCCCGGGCCUU
rnacentral:rRNA from 1 species